AGAAAUAAAAGACCUGGACUGUAA
rnacentral:piRNA from 1 species